GAAAUGCGAUAAGUAGUGUGAAUUGCAGAAUUCAGUGAAUCAUCGAAUCUUUGAACGCACAUUGCGCCCUUUGGUAUUCCUUAGGGCAUGCCUGUUCGAGCGUCAUCUAAACCUUCAAGCCCUGCUUGGUGUUGGGUGCCUGUCCCGCCUCCGCGCGCGGACUCACCUCAAAUCCAUUGGCGGCCCCCGCGUCGGCCACGAGCGCAGCAGAAACGCGAACUCGUGAGCCCGUCCGGGCGGCUCCCAGAAGCUACACCCACCCAGCUUGGCCUCGGAUCAGGUAGGGAUACCCGCUGAACUUAAGC
rnacentral:misc_RNA from 1 species